rnacentral:ncRNA from 1 species
CUUAUAAAGAGUGACGGAGGGACAGGCCCUGUGAUGUCACGGCAACCUGCAUUUUGCAAGGUGCCAAAUCCCGCAGCAAAGCUGAGAGAUAAGG